CAGAACCUCACAACAGUGAGAGAGCUUCUUUGGCAUUGUAGUAUCAAAAGAAGCAAAUCUGAUUCAUGAAAACAGCAGAAUCAUAGUGACCUGAAGAAAUGGAGGGAAGCAGCUUUACGAAAGCCCCACUCCGAAGUCAGUUAUGCUGACCUCUAUAUCUGCCUCCUUUGAUCCCAGUGGACUCGGCUGCAUGUUG